rnacentral:tRNA from 1 species
AGCGUUGUGGCUUAGCAGGUAAAGCUGCUGCCUGCAAUGCAGCAUCCCAUAUGGGUGCAGGUUCAAGUCCCAGCUGCUCUA